rnacentral:lncRNA from 1 species
AUUGAAGCACAAACAACAGAGUUCCAUAAAGAAAGUGACAGCAGCCCUGGGAUCAGAGCUCUUUCCUCUGGUCCCCAGGGCAGGCCCCUCUGGGUAACUAACAGAUUCUCCAGUUCACCUGUUUGGCAGUCAGCCAAAGCAUGGAUGGAGCCACUGGCAUCAUUUCCAGCCCUGAUGGGAUUUUCAGAAGCAAAAGCGAACAAAGGACAUUGCCGUGUCGCACUCUCUCCCAGACCCAGGUCUGCAUCCCUUCCCCACAGGCAAAGUCCUAAUGACCUCCGGCUGUGUCAACCUGAUGACUUAGACUCCACUGGGGCAGUGUUGUCACAUCUGUGUGACGUGCACAUGAGUCAAUUUAGGAGCAGCAGAGCUAUCACUGAAAACUGAAAACAAGUCUGACACAUACUGUCCUACGCGCAAUGUGGUGAAACAGCAGACCAAGCCCCACAGCGCCAAACUGUCUGCCUGGUCCCCACCUCCGCCUCCCCUCUACCUUCACCUUGGUCGUUCCAGGAGAGCAGGAGACAGUGUUGGUUGUGGUUCAGCUUUCCAGCUCAUCCAAACUCAAAUUCCAGGCCUCUGACUUUCACAAGAAAAACACAGGAAUCUGACAUGAAGGGAAGAAACAAACUAGAUUUUUACAUAAAAAGACCUUGAUUCAAAGGCCACCCUUCUCAUGGCUCAUCAAAGGACCUAUGCAACAUCCUGCCAGCCUGCCCUGCCUUGGUUUCUAGAUCUAUGAAAUGGGGGAGCUGCACCCGAUCACUGCUAUGGCUCCUCCUAACCGUGCAAAACAUUGCCAUGCCCAGCAACAGCCAGAGCCAAGUUGCCUGCUUAUAUUGUCCUGCCACUGCCCAGAAGUAAUAAUGGGUAACACCACUGCUAUUUGAAAGAUGAAAUGAGACUAUUCUCAUAAAGAAGCAGACAAGUUAUCCAGGGAGGUGUGCCAGCACAGCAGAGCAAAGAUGAGUCAGGAAUAAGGACACCUGGGGUCUGGUUCUAAUUCUGUUUCUGACCUGAUUUUCUAUAUGAUCUUUGACAAGUUGUUCAGUGUGUUUCUGGACCAAAUGUUAUACAAACAUAAAGGGACACUCUGCCCAUUAUUAUCAGCAGUAAUUAAUUGAGGUUACGUUUGUCUGUCUGCUUCUUUUUGUUUAGCUAUCCUCAGCCAUCUUGUUCCCCCAAGGAUUAAGGACAGCUUAAAAAUGAGGUAACACUCUAGAGAAAAUCCCCCAAAUCAGACCCCCUUAUCUGACUCCCUCAAUAUUUUAAUGCUGGCCAUGAAGAAGACAAUGAGCCUUGAGUCUCCUGUUCCAGUCCUGGUCCUGCUAACACAUUAGCCAUGUAACCUGGG